rnacentral:rRNA from 1 species
UAAUAAGCGGAGGAAAAGAAACUAACAAGGAUUCCCCUAGUAACGGCGAGUGAAGCGGGAAGAGCUCAAAUUUGAAAUCUCCGAUGCUUGCAUCGGCGAGUUGUAGUUGCGAGAAGCACUUUCUAGGCGGAUCGGCCUGCCUAAGUUGCUUGGAACAGCACGUCACAGAGGGUGACAACCCCGUCUGUGGCAGUGGCGGCCGCUGACGAUGUGCUUUCGAAGAGUCGGGUUGUUUGGGAAUGCAGCCCAAAAUGGGUGGUAAACUCCAUCUAAAGCUAAAUACUGGCGUGAGACCGAUAGCGA